GGCUGCUUCAAGCUGGCUAGUUGUUUAUCCAAAAGGCAUCCAAGAGAUUUUACUCUACACAAAGCACAAAUAUAAUGAUCCGCUCAUUUACAUUACUGAGAACGGCAUUGAUGAGUUCGAUGAUCCCAAAUUGUCACUUCCGCAAUCCCUCAAUGAUACCCAUAGAAUUGAUUACCACUACCACCACCUCAACUAUCUUCGAAAAGCAAUCGAUGAUGGUGUAAAUGUGAAGGGAUACUUUGCAUGGUCAUUGACGGACAAUUUUGAAUGGGGUGCUGGAUACACCUUACGAUUUGGUUUCGUCUAUAUAGAUUACAAUGAUGGACUUAAGAGGCACCCAAAAGUCUCAGCAAGCUGGUUUAAAUAUUUCCUUGGAUAAUGGUGAAGAUAUCCUGCUGCAGUUGUUGUUCGUGAAAUAAAUAUGCCAAGCAUAUCAUUUCCCUAUUUUCAUAAUUGUAUUCCUUUAGGAAUGUUCUUCCUCUUUCAUAAAAUAAAUAUGCCAAUUAUAUAUGGAUGUUUCUUUGUGUAUGGACAAAAUAAAAAAUGGUCCCUAUAACAUACAGGAUGUGGGAAUAUGA